UUCAAUUGAAUUAUGUUGUGCACUUUUAAAAAACAAUUUUUACAAUAAAAAGUUGACCUCUAAGUUGGUGAGAGUUGGGCGAUCAUUCAUAUACACGAAAUGCUGUACGUGUUACUGGGUGUGUAGAAGAGACGUAGGGGAUGAGCGAAAAAAUUGAUGGUCGCGCCGUUAUUGAAUAACGCUAAAAAUAGAGAAAACAUGUACAUACACGGUCAUGCAAACCUCAGCAUCUCGCGAAAUAGAUCAGAACAGUUGAUAAGGAAGUUCAUGGACAAUGUAAACUUUGACCUUUAUAUCUUAGAUAUAAAGACCUUUAGUAACCUUUAUAUCUAAAGAUAAAGAAUUUUUAAUUAAAUAUUACGGUGUCAAUAUAACUUUAAUAUAAUUAUAACGUCAAUAUAAUAUCAACAUAAUUGAAUGCAUUUAAGCAUCUUAAAAAAAAUUAAUGCCAUUAAUGGGCUGAAUCUAAAACUUCUAGAGGUUCAACCCAGUAAACAAGAAACAUCGACCAAUGUUUUCAAUUUUUCUUGCUUAAAUCGAUAGUAUUUUAUCCAUAGAACAUCCCUGCUCAAAAUGUUCAAUAGAAACUGAUAGAAACAUAUGGAAAUUUGAUAGAAAUUUGAUAUGAUUUUAUCUGAAUCUAUCAUUUCUAUCGGAUACUAGAUUUCCUGCUAGAUAGAAAAGUUAUAAAAUUCUAUCGUUUCUUAUCGUAUCUGAAUUAAACGAUUAAAACUUUAUCUGAAUAUGAAUACUUUUCUAUAUGAUCUUAUCUAGUUAUCUUACUGAAAGUUACGUGUAAGCAUCGUCCACGUAUUUUAGGAAUGCACUUAGACAGAAUUAAGAUAUAUUGUUAUUAAGCAUAAAACUACUUAUCAUCUACGGAAUGCACUUACAGAGGAUUAGAGAUAUACUCCUAAUGUAUAUUUUCCAUUAUUCUGUUUUUAAGAAGUACUUUACAUUGUUCUCCUCUGAGUGUAUGGAAUUUCCCUUUUUUUCUAGUAAACAUAAUACGUCAUUCUACCCAUAUAAAUAGAGCACCCUUCGACGACAGAGUCGGUUCUCUCAGUUAAUAGUUCACAGUACGUAGUACUCAGAAUCACGUAGUUAUAAGUAAUAAUUGUAAAAAUUUGUGAAAUAAAGUUUUUUUUUUAUAAGAAG